rnacentral:misc_RNA from 1 species
AAAGAAAAUACGUUUCCCCGACCACGACGUAGGAAUAUAUUGCGACGUAUCAGGCGACAUCGUACGACCGUACGUACCGAAAUCCUUGCGGCGCGGCGUAUUUAAUUCGCUCCACGGACUUUCCCAUCCAGGGAUACGCGCCACUCAAAACCUGGUGACGACGCGUUUCGUUUGGCUGUUCAUAAACAAGGACUCCCGAAAUUGGACACGACCAUGUAUCCCGUGUCAACAAUGUAAAGUCACCAGGCACGUAUCUUCACCCGUCGGAACAUUCGGAAAGCUAGCAGGCUGAUUCGAGCACAUUCACAUAGACAUUAUCGUGAUGCAAUA